UUUUAAUCGUUGUCUUUAACCACUGAAUCUAUUAUUGAGUUUAAUUACUAUCGCGCUAUCAUACGAAUAACAUAACGAGUUUACAAGAUAUCCUCGCCUUUAUUCAUUGAACGUCAUUAACGACGCGAUGGGUCAUUAAACGACUCAGUCCUCUGAUUACGUUCAACAAUACGAUACAAGAUACGAUCCCAAACAAUAACAGGGAACAAAUACAAUGGUUGCGUAUAAAGUACUUGCACUGCGUUUCGUAUUGUUUAAGCUUGAUUCACACCAACGGUUAAAUCGGGUCAAGCAUCGAUGAAGAUCGUUUGCACGUUCGGUCGAGUCAAGCGAAAAACCGUUGACCGUGGCGUCGGUUUCAUAACGAUCAAGACCGCCAUCGACGGUCGAAAGGGAACACGGAGAACGAGCGUUUAAAUUGAGUUUGUACCGAAAUUACAGCGAACUACGUGACUUUAGUCGCAAGAAAUAGCAUGUCAACUUGCAUGCACCUACGCGACCGUUAAGACUAGCACAACCUUUCCUUGUGCAGAGACACUUGUCUUCCUCCUCCACCAGGGAUCCUAUUAGUCGCGUUUGUGAAACUGUGAACUCUGCGAGUAACGACAUCGGCUCGCUUACCACGUCGACUCAGUCCCUCGAAACCUAAAUUCUCCAAACGAAUUCGACGAAUGUUUUAUGAAAUACCGUUCUUUCCCCUCCGUCUUUCUCCUUAUACCCGUGAUUUAUUCGUUUAUUCUUUUUCUUGCCUAUUUCCUUCUUACGCACUGGGUAUAUUUAAUUUUUUUACUUAUGCCUCGUACGCUUUGACCGAAUUGCAAUUUAUUAUUUAUUGCUUUGAUUCAAGUUGCACUUUUACCGCGUACAAUACGCGCGUCUCCGGUUAGUACACAGUCGAUUGACUCGGAUAGCCAGGAGACGCGAUCGCCUGAUCGCAACGAUCGAUCGCGUUCUAGUCGUCUCUCUACGGUUCCAAACUCGAAUUGUCUGUGAGUAUUUGUCACUAUUGAGACAAAUGUGAAUAUGAGUGUGUGGAAGUAUGUGGGUGCGCGGCGUCUGGAAAAACAAAUGAAUGUUCCGUUGGCAGUGUGGUAUGCAAGAUGGUGAGACAAAGAAAGUGCUGAGACGCGUGCAAAUGCGUAUCGACGAAGAUCCUGGGAAUCGUUUAUUGAAUAAAGCUAAAACUAUUUCAAUUUGAAUUCUAAUUGUAACCUUAGUGUUCCUUUGCUUUUAUUUCGGCGAUUAAGACCCACGAUUCUCAACAGUCGCAAUAAAAUGUAAUAUCUACGACGCGGUCGGACGAACGUGUUAAUCGUAAUAAGCUCGCGCUCUGCAUAAACUGCAACACCUUUGACCGCCAACGUGAAUCAGGUUUUAGCGAUAUUUUCGUAUCUCGUGUAGUGGAGUAUUUCUACUUUUAAUACUUAAAACAUAUAACUCGAUGCAUUGUACAUAACAGGUGGAAUUUAAAUCUCUGCCGAACCGAUUUCUUCCCCCCACUGCUAGCGCGAAAAUCUUUUUUCUUUAUCUGUCAUCUUUUAACCUAGAAAUCUAUUAAAUGUACUAAGCACCGUGAUUAGUCGCGUGCCAGAGGGGCUGGUGCGUAAAUUUGACGAUAAUUGGAAGGUUGUUAACGACGGAAAUUCUUGCGAAGGUGGAACGAAGGUGGGGAAAGAAGGAAUGAGGGCGUGUAGGGUCGUCUUUCGACGCGAUAGAAUCAACCAGGUGCGGCCGACUAACGGUAACCUGGCCGUUUCUUCUGCCAAGGACGCUAGAUGCUUGAUUGAUGGAGCAAAUAUUAGCUCGCGAAAUUACCCGAAACGCCUUGGCUCGACCCUUUCCCAUCCAGUGUUACUCUAUCGCUCGACUUUCUGCGUUUACGUUCAUUUCUUCGCCUCCUAAAAUUUUCAACAAAUUGCCAGGGAAGGUGAAAAUAACCAGAAAUUAAAAUAAGAAUUUUGAUUGUUCGGAUUGCGACGAAGAAUACAAGAUUGCGUGUCUCGUAUAGAGGAAGUCGUACAGAAGAAGAGCUUUCUUCGUAAAUCUAAAAGCUUUAACCCAUUCCAUUCGCUACUCGUUCCGAAUGAUUGGAAAUAUCCCAAGGAAAGAAAGUGUCGGAUGAAAACAGAAGAAGAAAGCAAUAAAGACAACGACAAACCUUCCAAAAUCAGAGAUCAAUUUCUAAGAUCAAUGAGCAGCUGCUCCAAGACAAAAUCGUCGCAUCAUAUCGUACGUCCUAAAGAAGUUAGAAAUCGCGUGUCAUGCGAAAAAGUUACGUAAAUAAUCGGAGAUUAUGCGCGGAAGCGGAGACUCAACUCCAAUGGCCUUGACCUUGAGCUAUGUCGUAAAGGGCAAGGUUCCGAGUAACAUGCGCGUUGACCGCGGCUUGCGACGAUCGCUUCCCUCUACGACAAAUCCGAAAUUCAACGAAACUGGAAUUGAGGCUUUUGCGUCAAAUGACCUUCGUAUCGUAUCGAUGAUAUCGCGCGAUAAAAGACAAGAUAACAAAAACUCUACCACCGAUGCCAUCAUUCUGUUUUGUUUCAAGGGAACAAAUUUUUCGCCGAAGAAUUCUCCCUACGACAAAAUAUUCAUGAGUAGCCGAAGGUGGUGAAAUUAGGCGAAUCUCGCACGCUAGGCCGAGGGGGAAGAAUUUCGAGAGCGAACUUGUAGCCAGCCGGUGCACUAUCUGUGCGAUUGCAGACGACUGAUUGUGCCGACCUACUUCCCGAGACAAUCGCACAAUGCCGGAGGGGGCUGUUGGAAGCGGGUUGGUUCGGGGUUGUGCUGGAAGGACAGCUCUCUCUUGAAGAACGAACGAAGAACGACUGCUUUCGCUGUUUUACGUGACGUCAAGGUCGUUGUAUCGACGAUCGAGGAGACAAGCUUUCGCCUUUUUGCCUGGCGUUUGGGGACGCGUAUCUAUGUAAACGAGACCAAAGUGAGAAGCUACGAUCAAUUGUUGUUGUUGGUGUCGUUACAUUUAUUAUACUGAUAGCACCUUUUGCUAUCGACAAGGAUCGAUACAAGUGAACGAAUAACGAAGAAUUAAUAGGAAAUCACACACGUUGCGAUGGUAGACACGAAUUAUCGACGAUAUUUCUGACAAGUUUGUUAAACCAGAUUCACAAAAAGGACGGAGCAAAUGGGCGAGUAAAUUGAGAUAUUUGCAGAUACGAUUGAUACAGACAGAGUCAUGCUUAGUGUUGUAGAGAGAUGUGCGAAAUAAUGGAAGCUGGCUGAAAGCCCUAAAUGGAACAUUAAGCUUAAAAAGCUGAAGAAUUUCUGCGCGGUCUAAUCUUAUAAUAAUUAUAAUCUUGCCUUGCCCAAUAAGCGAAUAAAAUCCAAACUACGACAAGACGAAAAGGAAGAAAAGUAUGGCAAAGGAAAGCAUGGAGUAUAAUCAUUCUAGACAAAGCAGAUUUCUCGAUAAGUGUGACAACAAUAUCGGCUCGUAAUGAACAGAAACGACCCGAAUUUCGGUUGUUCUCCGAUGAAUUAGCCAUGCUGUUUGCCGUAUCGGCAAAUUCGUGGGAUCUUUCCUCUGGAAUUCGAUUAAUUAGCUAACCAGGUCAUCGAUAAACUAUCGACCCGUAGACCAACGGUUUCCUGUCAUCGAGCUCGGCUACUGACCAGAAUUCCCAUUCUUCGAGCAUUCGACGAGACGAGGACGACCGUAGCCCGAUCGAUGAGAUUAUCUCAUGAAGAAUUUUUCUCUUUCUUCGUGUUUAGUAUUUUUCUUUAUUUUUUUUCUUCUGAGUACGCGUAUGUUUCUUUUACGUAGACCGAAUGGGGCCCGAUAACGACGCUGACAAAAUAAUUGCGACGUUCGUUAUACAGCUGGAAGUGUUACCGAGAGAAACGAUGAAAGAGCACAAUCGUCGAGCAUCGCGUCGCACCAUAACGACAAGGAGGAAAAGGCGAUGAAAUUUUAAUAGACGAUUAGUUAAUUUCCUAUGUCGGCUAGUUCUAAUGAAAGGAACGAGCAAGACAGAGAGGGAUUUUUUCCAUUUAAUGAAAACGCUUCGAAGCCUUUUUAUCGUAGACUUGAGAAAUUUGAUUUCGAAUAAAAUCGUGAAACCCGCUGCAAUUCCAACUUUAACUUUAACUAAGAUCGAUGGACCUGUGAUACUUAGUAAUUGAAAAAAUGAAUAAAAAAAUCAAGUAAUCCAGACACGUAUGGUUCUCAUGAAAGGGAACAGGAAAGUACGAAAAUUGAAGUCUCAAGCUUCCUAUUCUGCUUCGAUAGUUGCAAAUUUGAAAUUCUAUUUGCUACGAAACAAAGAUACGGAUAAGAGAUAAUUGUCGAAGCAACCUAUUUUCGCGUUGCACAUCGGAUAUCAAAUUUUUGCGAACGAUAACGACCACGAUCUAACUGUUGGCAAAUUUCCUACUGCUGCGUAGGAUGUAUCUAUCGAGUUGGCAACUAAGUGAUUGCGGAUGUUGUCGUUAAAUGCUACGACGAAAUCCGCAAUCACUUAGUUGCCUUCCCAGUAGAUUAAAGCUGAGCGUUCCUAACACGCUGCGAUGGAAAAAUAUCUGUCCUCUGUAUUAAAGGAGAGACUGUGGGAUAAGACUGGAAGGAAAUGAAAAUUACGAUCGCCAGCAUCUUCACUGCGCUGACUCGAAUACCAAGUUUCCAGUCUUAGAACAAAUUGCAUAAAGAGUACAAAGAGUGUAUUGGAAAAAGAUUUUAAAAAAUUAGCUACAAAAGAAAAAGACAUUGCUAGUUACUGUACUUGAUAAUGGAACUUUAUAUCAGAAUGAUAAUCCAUAAUUUUUCAUAGAAGUGUUAUGGAUUAAUAGUAUUUUUUUGGAAAUUUGAACAGUACAAAUAGAACAGCAUACAUUUUUGGGAAUUUCAACGAUUUCUUGCAUUUCUGAAAAACGCGCGCAAGCUCGUGUUUCUCCUUGUAUCGCGUGUUUCCUCGUGCAUCUUGUAUCUCCAUUUUUCUUUCAUGCGAGUCUCGUUUCCUCAUUUCCAAUGGUUCCAGCGUUAAUUAUCAAAGUGGAUGAGAGAAAAAAUUGUCAUCUUAGAUCGAUGCACUGUACCGUGGUAUGUUACGCACGUCGAUAUUGCGUGAUUGUAUAUCGUAAAUUAUGCCACGCUAUAUUUUGAUAAAAAAAAUGAUACGUUAUUGCAACAUACUUGUAUACUAGUUACAACGUCAUAAAUUAUAUACUAUCGGCAAUAUGUAUUUAUAAGGUCGGAGAAAAUAAUGUAGAAUGUAGAUUACGAAGUGGGACGAGAAAAAUUAUGAUUAUGAAAAACGAUGCUAUAACUACGUACUAGUGAAAAAAAAAAUAAAAAAGAGGAAUAGUUGCACACUGUUAUUAAUUAUUAAUCAGAAAAUGCGUAUAGUAUAAUCGAGUAUAUUUCAAUGAAAUCAAUUCAAUCUGCAAGAGUGAUGGUUAAACGAACCUAUUAGUUGAUACAUAGUCGUAAAAACACGAUGAUUAAAGAGCGAAAACAAAACGAUUUGAGAGUUCAAAGAGCAACGACAACUGACAAAAUAUUUGUCUCACAAUAAUUUAAAAUGUUACGAUUCUCCAUUGGAAUGAAACGUUGCGAAAUAAAUUGAAAUAAAUUUCCCUUUAUUUCCUUUCGCAAAUAUUCCUACACAGAUUAUCGUAUUAUCGUGCUAUACAUUGUUAUACGCAUAUGAGGAGUCCAGAUGAAAGAGAGGAAUUUUAAUUUAAUGGAGAACUUUCUCGCGUGUGCCCUUUACCACUUGCUAUGUCGUAUUAAUUUCAAUUAGAAUUUCCUGACUUGCACAUAGUUGCAAGAAAGUGAGGCGUACAACGUGCUUCUUAUUUUUUAC